UAGUCCACGCCGUAAACGAUCAUCACUCGCUGUUGGCGAUAUACUGUCAGCGGCCAAGCGAAAGUAUUAAGUGAUGCACCUGGGAAGUACGCCGGCAACGGUGAAACUCAAAGGAAUUGACGGGGGCCCGCACAAGCGGUGGAGCAUGUGGUUUAAUUCGAUGAUACGCGAGGAACCUUACCAGGGCUUAAAUGUAGUAUGACCGGUCUGGAAACAGGCCUUCCCUUCGGGGCAGAUUACAAGGUGCUGCAUGGUUGUCGUCAGCUCGUGCCGUGAGGUGUUAGGUUAAGUCCUGCAACGAGCGCAACCCCUAUUCUUAGUUGCCAUCAAGUAAAGUUGGGAACUCUAGCGAAACUGCCGGUGCAAACCGUGAGGAAGGUGGGGAUGACGUCAAAUCAUCACGGCCCUUACGUUCUGGGCUACACACGUGCUACAAUGGUAGAGACAGAGGGCAGCCACCUGGUGACAGGGAGCGAAUCCUUAAAACUCUAUCUCAGUUCGGAUCG
rnacentral:rRNA from 1 species